rnacentral:rRNA from 1 species
UACGUAGGGGCAAGCGUUGUCCGGAAUCAUUGGGCGUAAAGAGCGUGUAGGCGGCCGAUAAGUCCGCUGUGAAAGCCCAGGGCUCAACCCUGGAAUGCCGGUGGAUACUGUCGGGCUCGAAUCCGGAAGAGGUGAGUGGAAUUCCUGGUGUAGCGGUGAAAUGCGCAGAUAUCAGGAGGAACACCAAUGGCGAAGGCAGCUCACUGGGACGGUAUUGACGCUGAUGUGGCGAAAGCGUGGGGAGCAAACAGG